rnacentral:ncRNA from 1 species
UUUCUCCUCAAGAUAGCUGGAGUACGUAAUUUGAAGCUGUUUUAUUGGGUAAAAUUAACGAUUAGAGGAAUUGUGGGACGAAAUAUUUUCACUGUAUUCUCAAAUUUUCAAAGAGUAUGACGUCUUGCUUGCUUGAAUAAAGCAUAGACAUUGAAUGUGUGCUCCAAGAAUGCCAUUUUUGAUAAGUAAAACAGGCGUUGUCAGAUGAAA